ensembl:snoRNA SNORA73 Small nucleolar RNA SNORA73 family
UCAGCUUGAGUCACUCUUACCAGGCUUUAUCUAGGUAGGUGGCUUAGGUUAGCUAGGGCUAUGUCCCAUGAUGUACAGUCCCUUUACACAAUGUUGGAGAUCAAACUUGGCUUCAUGUCUUGCUUCAUAUUCCCACAGCCUCUCAGAGUCCUGUGGACGAUGACUGAGGAGACAAACCAUGCAAGCAACAUAC